rnacentral:rRNA from 1 species
GAUGAACGCUGGCGGCGUGCUUAACACAUGCAAGUCGAACGGUGAAGGCGGAGCUUGCUCUGCUGGAUCAGUGGCGAACGGGUGAGUAACACGUGAGCAAUCUGCCCCUGACUCUGGGAUAAGCGCUGGAAACGGCGUCUAAUACUGGAUACGAGCUGCGAAGGCAUCUUCAGCAGCUGGAAAGAAUUUCGGUCAGGGAUGAGCUCGCGGGUUAUCAGCUUGUUGGUGAGGUAAUGGCUCACCAAGGCGUCGACGGGUAGCCGGCCUGAGAGGGUGACCGGCCACACUGGGACUGAGACACGGCCCAGACGCCUACGGUAGGCAGCAGUGGGGAAUAUUGCACAAUGGGCGAAAGCCUGAUGCAGCAACGCCGCGUGAGGGAAGACGGCCUUCGGGUUGUAAACCUCUUUUAGCAGGGAAGAAGCGAAAGUGACGGUACCUGCAGAAAAAGCGCCGGCUAACUACGUG